AGAAAAAAUGGAUUGCUUAUACAUGAAUGAUAGUCUGCUGACAGAUUUCUCAUCGGCAUCAGCAGAAUACAGCAAAUAAACAUCUUCUAACAGUUGAGGUAAAUGAACUGUCUGCUUAAGAGUUAAUAACCAAUGAAAAUAUCAUUCAAAGGCAAAACUCACAGAUUCUUCCCAAGAGAACACUAAAUGAUAUACCUCAGUCACAAGAAAACAAUGGAGAAGAGUGGGAUAUGGAGAAAAGAAGAGUGGAGAAGUGAAGUAUCAAACUUGUAUGAGGUCACACAGCUAAAGACUACAGCUAGGAGAAUGUCCUCUAGCUCAGAAAUGACGUGAAACUCAAAAAGCAAUUCUAACAGUCUGCAUUUAUUCUUUUAGCUCAUUUGUGACCCAGAGAGUUUUAAUGUCUGUGAGUUCUAGAAUGUAUAAGAAAAAUUUACUCAGGCACUAUCCUUUGAAUUAGAACAUGGAACAACAAGGUCCUAUAAAUUGUGAUAAUUUAUCUUAUUUGAAAUCCCAGUUAUGCAGAGUGAUUUUUCAGUCACUUGCAUAAUUACAGAAACUUUGAGAAAUAUUAAGUAAUCGGUGGUGAUAUGACCAUGU
rnacentral:lncRNA from 10 species